rnacentral:rRNA from 1 species
AUUGAACGCUGGCGGCAUGCUUUACACAUGCAAGUCGAACGGUAACAGGUUAAGCUGACGAGUGGCGAACGGGUGAGUAAUGCAUCGGAACGUGCCCGGUCGUGGGGGAUAACGCAGCGAAAGCUGCGCUAAUACCGCAUACGAUCUGAGGAUGAAAGCGGGGGACCGUAAGGCCUCGCGCGAUAGGAGCGGCCGAUGUCAGAUUAGGUAGUUGGUGGGGUAAAGGCUCACCAAGCCAACGAUCUGUAGCUGGUCUGAGAGGACGACCAGCCACACUGGAACUGAGACACGACCCAGACUCCUACGGGAGGCAGCAGUGGGGAAUUUUGGACAAUGGGCGAAAGCCUGAUUCAGCAAUGCCGCGUGCAGGAAGAAGGCCUUCGGGUUGUAAACUGCUUUUGUACGGAGCGAAAAGGUCUCCUCUAAUACAGGGGGCUCAUGACGGUACCGUAAGAAUAAGCACCGGCUAACUACGUGCCAGCCGCCGCCGUAA